CCUCGCACCAGAACAAGCCACGUCUCGCACCCGCGCUCGCCGUCCCUAACCCAUAACCGUGCGCCGCCGCUGGGGAUUCGUCGCGUGGGCGGUAUCGUCGUCAAUCCGCGUGAGUGGCACUUUCGGCCCCGGUGAUUGAAGCCAUGGGCACUUCCUGGGGGUCCUCGUGCCCCCAACCCAAAGCCAAACCAAGAACCGUUUAAUUUCUUGAUGUCACCGUUCCUUCCGCCGCGUAGCCACUCGCGCCGUGACCAGACCAUACGAUCGUCCUUCCACCGACGGGCAAGUGACUGAGGACCUAAAGGCUCAGCAGGUGGAAAAUACUGAGCAGGAGCUCGUUGAAGGCAAGUUGUGCCCUUGAUCACUUCUAUUUACCCAAUAAUGUUCCUGUUAAUCAUUAUGAUCUGCAUAGGUUAAUUUUAAUGGGAGCCAAUAGGUCACCCUAGUUUGGCAACCUUUAUACCUUGUUUACCACUGAACUUUUGGGUUGUACCUGCUAUUGCUUUAUGUGGUUUUGGGUGUUAAGAUACACAUUAUUCAUGAUCAUUCAUUUAUUAUCAA